UUAUUCUUCUCAUGAUGACACUGUCACUGUUAUGCAUCUUCUCUCCAAAUUCUUGCAACAAAAUAGAGCUGGCCAUAAGAAACUUCCCACAGGUACAUCCUGCUUGUUAAAUAGUCAUAUUCAUCUAGAAGAGAACUUAGUCAAUAUAUAUAUUUUUCAACAUUUAGCUUUGCAUGUCAAACAAAACUAAAAAUGUUUUUCCAUUUUGCUUAUUCUUCUCAUGAUGUCACUUUGUCACUAUUAUGCAUCUUCUCCCCAAAUUCUUGCAAGAAAAUAGAGCUGGCCAUAAGAAACUGCCCACAGGUACAUCCUGCUUGUUAAACAGUCAUAUUCAUCUAGAAGAGAAAUAAGUCAAUAUGUAUAUUUUUCAACAUUUAGCUUUGCAUGUCAAACAAAACUAAAAAUGUUUUUCCAUUUUGCUUAUUCUUCUCAUGAUGACACUGUCACUGUUAUGCAUCUCCAAAUUCUUGCAAGAAAAUAGAGCUGGCCAUAAGAAACUGCCAAUAGGUACAUCCUGCAACUCAUAGUUGGGUAAGCAACACUACUUUGCUACACCAAGAUAUUUUCCAUUAACAUGUAUUUAGAUUUCUUGUCCAUAAAAUCACCAGAACGAACUUAAUGUAUACUAAUUGUAAUUAGUUUUUUACAAUUUUACGAUAUAAAUAGGUCAACAAAGUUUUGGAGGGAAAAUAUUUUAAGUUUAAAUUGACUGACAUUGAUCCUGAGAUGAUAGUCACUCUAUCUGCUAUGGUUCUCUAGAACAUUUUGUUUAGCAUCAACUAUAUGUACAUUUUAGAUUAAAAUAUACUGUCAUUAAUCAUUUGAGUGGAGAAUAUAAAUGCAUAAUGGACAUGUUUCAUCUCAGACCUACCUAAUCUCUGCAGGUGUGUCAAUACUGGAUGUCACUUAAGCUCUGAACACAAUGAGGUGGUUGUCCAAAGGUACACACUAUGAUCCCAACCAUCAUGAUAAUGUUGCCUUUGCCUUCUCUGCAAUAUCCAUCAGUCAAAGAUACAAGUCAUAUUCAUAAUAAUUACAUGUCAUUCCGACACCACAUUCCUGGUAAUCAGCAAGUUAUAAUUCCCCCAACCCUAUAGAAGAACAAACCCACUGUUUUCCUUUGUCCCAUAAAUUUUAUUUUUAUUCUCUCUCUCUCUCUCCACCUGUUUAUACAGGUUGGGGCCUCUCUAUAACUUGUCACAUCAAGUGGGUAAAUUGUGCAAGCACAAGCCUGCUACUCACUCUUCCCAAGAGUCCUUGUUACCAAAUGUUGGCACUGGCACCCAUGUGCCACAAAGUACUACAAAAUUUCUCCAAUCCCAACAAAUCUUUAGAGGAGCUUUGACCCUUUCAAGAAGUAGAUAUACUAUUCUACCCGAGACAAGCAUUUAAAGUUUUCUGUCUCAUGCGGGACAUAACUUCUUAAAGGAGAAAAGGGAUGAAACACAUGAUGGAGGCAAUCUACAUCCUCUUCAUGCUCUCACAGUGUUGUAGUUACUGUUGUUCUGUCCCCACCUCUCAGGGGUUCACAGGAAAAGUUUGAGUUAGGCAAGAAGCUUGAGUUGGCCAACAUACAAUUAAUGAAGCUUGACAAGAGGCCAUUGGGCUCUCUCCACUUUGAACUGAAAGCAUUACACACAAUAAAUAAAAGAGUGACAAGUUGCCAUUGUGCUCUCCCCAUGUGGAAUUAAAAAGCACUGCAUACAACAAAUGAAGUGUGGCACUCUCUCUCUCUCUCUCUCUCUCUCUCUAUCUAUGUGGAAUUGCAAGCACCUCAACAAUCUGACCUUCCUAAAUGGUGGUUGUAGGUGCAGGGGGGGCAUACAUGUGAGCCCUCAUGUUCCUAGGGGCCAAAUGUGAGACAAAUAGUAUCUCACAUACUUUAUUGAUUCAUGUGGUGCCAAAGAGCCAGGGAAGUUUAUAUUUUGUUCAACAGAUGUGAGUCAUUUGUUUAUAGGACCGUAUGGUAAGUGUCAAUUUCCAUCUUUCCAUGUACCCUACACUGUUUGCAUACUAGCUCAUGCCACCUGCUUUUUACUGCACCCCAAUGUACCCUCUGUUGCAACCUCUGUGCUCCUUCUCAAUGGCCAUUUCCCAUCUCUUUCCCACUUCCCAACACCUUUAAAAGCCAGGCUAAAGGUAAAAAAAAGGUAACCUACUGACCAUUUGGGUCUGUGACAUGAAUCACCUUUUGAUGGAGCAGGAGGCCUAUCUUCCUUCAUAUUGUUUUCUCUGGCUUUUCAUCAUGGAUAGAAGAAUUAAUAAUGUAUGGAAUAUGGACAUUGGACAUGACAGCUAGUAUUUGUUGAGCAAUGUGCUCUGAACAUGGUUUUGUACCCAAAAGUAAGUCAUGUCUGAGUGACAAAUUUCACAUUCUACUAUCUGAUUUCUCUAUGAAUUUAAGAAUUCAUAAUGUACAGACAGUAUGGGCAGUGGAAAUGACAUAAUAGCAUUUGUUCCAUCAACCAUCUGUCUCCGGGAUCCCUCUGGUGGAGCAAUGAGCUGUUGACAUGGUUUUGUGCCCUAAAGUAACCCCCUGCUGAGUGACAAGCUCUCAUCCAUCCCCUUUGAUGAUUGUCCACUUGAGGAAUGUUGGGGACUCUGCACCAAGAAUAUCAGAGCUGGCCUGUAUGGUUUGUACCUGUAAGUGCCUGAAGGGAACUGAUGAGUAAGUACACUGACCAUUUAUUAUGAUAAGGAUGGACUGCUCACCGCAUGAUUAACUUUGUUUUGUAAGCUUGCUGAAGGUCUCCCUCACCCCUCUUCUUGGCUCCACCUCUCAAUUAUGUAGUGAGAUGCAGAUGA
rnacentral:lncRNA from 1 species